GACGAACGCUGGCGGCGUGCUUAACACAUGCAAGUCGAACGGAAAGGCCCUGCUUUUGUGGGGUGCUCGAGUGGCGAACGGGUGAGUAACACGUGAGUAACCUGCCCUUGACUUUGGGAUAACUUCAGGAAACUGGGGCUAAUACCGGAUACGAGCUCCUGCUGCAUGGUGGGGGUUGGAAAGUUUCGGCGGUUGGGGAUGGACUCGCGGCUUAUCAGCUUGUUGGUGGGGUAGUGUCUUACCAAGGCUUUGACGGGUAGCCGGCCUGAGAGGGUGACCGGCCACAUUGGGACUGAGCUACGGCACAGCCUCCUACGGGAGGCAGCAGUGGGGAAUAUUGCACAAUGGGCGGAAGCAUGAUGCAGCAACGCCGCGUGCGGGAUGACGGCCUUCGGGUUGUAAACCGCUUUCGCCUGUGACGAAGCGUGAGUGACGGUAAUGGGUAAAGAAGCACCGGCUAACUACGUG
rnacentral:rRNA from 1 species